rnacentral:rRNA from 1 species
UAUUAUUGUUAUACUAGCGUUAAUGCACCGGAUCCCAUCAGAACUCUUCAGUUAAGCACGCUUGGGCUAGAGUAGUACUAGGAUGGGUGACCUCGUGGGAAUUCCUAGUAUUGCACCCU